CUUUAAAGAUUCCCAACAGCCCUGUCUGACACCCAUGUGUGAGAAAGUCAGGCCUUCCCCACCUGCCCAAACCACAGAGCCCUGGCCAGCUUCGCUCCCAACAAGCCUGCUGCGGGGCUCAGCCGUUCCCAUCGUGACAGCUCGGGAAGAUUCACUUGCCUCUGUGAGAAAUAGCAGUGACCAUAAUAGAAAAAGAAAUUCUAGGCAUUCUUUCAAGCCAUUGGGAAGUUCCAGCACAUUCCAGCUGCAAAAGAAUUCAAGUCCCUCCACUCGCGUCAAAGCUCCAAGCGCCAUCCAUGUGUGCUUUGUACAUCUAAUAGAACACAGCCUAGUAAUUAACUCUAUAAAUUCUCUCCCUAUCUCACUUGCCGUGCACUGCAAGCUCAUUCUAGAGGAAGGUCAACCUGAGUUAGCCCUAGGCUUUGGGCAAUGACAGAUCUCAGGGGCUUGAAGUCUCCCAGCAUUACCCAUAGCUAUUCCAAGACACUGAGUCAGUCAUUUGUGAGAUUUUUGCAGAAUAUUUAAUCCAUAAACUUUGAAAAGCCACAUCCAUGACUAUUUAGGGCUUGUCAUAAAGAGAAGUUUCACUCCUCUCUUCUGCCUUUUUCUGGACCCAAAUGUAUCCUCCAAAUCACCCUGUUUGAAUCUCCCCUGCAAAUCUGCUCACCUGUGAUUCAAUCUAAGAAGAUUCAUUUCUGGCUAACUUCCUAACUCUUCUUUGUCUGUUUUUCCCCCCUUAAUAAAGGAAGGAAGGGCAAUAAAAAAGAAAAGAAGUUGCUCUUCAGGCAAAAAUAAAAAUAUCCCCAUCAUGAAGAAGUGAUCCUGAGCCGCUUCAGCUGGUGCAGAGUGAGGCUACUGUUACCAGGAGAUGAGAACAUUGACCUUGACAGCAUGACAGGGAUCAUUCUCACGCUCUCCUAAGAGAAACCAUGUGCUCGCUGUAGCACAGACUCCACAUUUAGCUCCCUUAUGGAGAGUGCAUGUGUCCUUCUUCCAAUCACUUGAAAAGAAGACUAGACGGAUGGAAGAGGAGCACCGUCUGAUUCAGUUCAAACACUGGCCAGCAGAGGUCUGAUUGAGGAGACAAACAAGCAACAAUAUAUGGCACGAGGAGAAGUGCUAUUAAUGAACAGGAAAUAAACGCAAAGGGAGAUCUGAGUGAGAGCUGGUGGAGGCGCUACAGAGAAGGCGAUCUGAAGUGGCUCCACUUCUUUUCCGGGUUUGGAUUUCACUAGGCAAAAGGGAUAGAAUGCCACCUUGCAGCUGUACCAACUAUGGGAACUCCCACGCCCGCACUGCCCUGGAAUUCCGACACUGCUGUCCCUGAGACCCACUGCUCCGACGUCACCUGCACAACACUUGGAUGCUCACCUCUGAGGCGGGUGCUAUUUCCCCACUCUACACGUCGGGGAAAGGAUGCUCAGAUGACGAAACAAAGACAAAAAUAAAAGGAGGUGAGAAACCUGCUCAGUCAGGCGGCUAGGAAACAGCAGACUGAGAAUGCAAACCUUUCCGCGGGGCCCACAUCCCUCAACAGGACGAAGGAUGCAUCUGAUGAAGCUGCAGAUCUCUGCCAGCCCCAUCGGUUGCCUCAUCUGGGCAUGAUAGAAUGGGGUGACCCAGCUCACUGCGCUGAGUUGUAACCCAGCAAAUAUUACUGAGCAACUUCUAUGUGCCAAGCACCCUUCUGGGGGCCAGGGAGACGGCAGCCGACUGAUGGACAGAGCCCCAUCCUCACGGGGUUUACGUUCUACCAAGGAGCAGCAAUAGAUCAACAGGAACAUCAUGGUACCCAGUAGGGAGAUGGGGGCUGGAGCUGUGCACAGAAGGUUAAUGCCCUGGCCUGAAGCACCGGCAUCCCAUAUGGGCACCGGUUCAAGACCCAGCUGCUCCACUUCCCAUCCAGCUCUCUGCUAUGGCCUGGGAAAGCAGUAGAAGAUGACUCAAGUCCUUGGGCCCCUGCACCCACAUGGGAGACCUGGAAGAAGCUCCUGGCUCCUGGCUUCAGAUCAGUGCAGCUCCGGCUAUUGCAGCCAGUUGGGGAGUGAACCAGCGGAUGGAACCAUCUCUUUCUCUCUGCCUCUCCUCUCUCUGUGUAACUCUGACUUUCAAAUAGAUAAAAUAAAUAAAUCUUAAAAAAAAAUCAGAGAUGUUUCCUCAUUGGUAACAAAUAACCAGAGUAUUUCCUGUGCAAGCAAAAAGCAGAUAGGUCAGUUAUUGCUGGGGAAAGCUUACAUUGCCUUUAACACUAAGGACCUCAGUUGGGUUGGUUUAGCUAAUCACCACUCUGGAACCAUAGCUACAGCUAGUUGACUUGCAUUACUCCUUUAAGGUUAAUUCUUAAAAUCAGACCCAAAGGAAUUACAAAUUCGGAAUGAGCACAAGUGGUUUUCGGAGAUGAGAGAAAAGAACCAGGUAAACAUAGCUCCUCUGAUUCCAUCCCAUGAUGAGAGUAGGCUUUGACAAAGGAUAACUCGUAGAAAUGGCUACCAAGGGUUAAACUGGAAGAUCUUGUGCAAGAAGAGACUUCUGGAAGCAAGUCAAAGAAGCAAAUUUAGAUAUUGGUUGCCAUACACUUCACUUAACCGGUAAGUCCAAAAUUCCUUUGUUAGACCUUCAUAAAGACCACAUUUGGAAGUGAAGCAUUUGUGUUCAUCACAAAUUAUUUGGGACUUGAGGCUCCUUUUGAAAUGCCCGUGUGAGUCGAC